rnacentral:tRNA from 1 species
GGAGAGGUUCCCGAGCGGCCAAAGGGAACAGACUGUAAAUCUGUCGUCGAAGACUUCGGAGGUUCGAAUCCUCCCCUCUCCACCA